AGGACGAACGCUGGCGGCGUGCCUAAUACAUGCAAGUCGAACGGUCUUUCUAUGGAAGCUUGCUCCACUGAGAAGAUAGUGGCGAACGGGUGAGUAACACGUGGGUAACCUGCCCAUAAGAGGGGGGAUAACAUCCGGAAACGGGUGCUAAUACCGCAUAGUUUUCUUGAUCCCAUGAUUGAGAAAGGAAAGACGGCCUUUGUGCUGUCGCUUAUGGAUGGACCCGCGGCGUAUUAGUUAGUUGGUGAGGUAACGGCUCACCAAGACGAUGAUACGUAGCCGACCUGAGAGGGUGAUCGGCCACAUUGGGACUGAGACACGGCCCAAACUCCUACGGGAGGCAGCAGUAGGGAAUCUUCCGCAAUGGACGAAAGUCUGACGGAGCAACGCCGCGUGAGUGAAGAAAGGUUUUCGGAUCGUAAAACUCUGUUGUCAGAGAAGAACAAGUUGGAGAGUAACUGCUCCAGCCUUGACGGUAUCUGACCAGAAAGCCACGGCUAACUACGUGCCAGCCGCCGC
rnacentral:rRNA from 1 species